GAUCCUGGCUCAGGAUGAACGCUAGCUACAGGCUUAACACAUGCAAGUCGAGGGGAAACGAUAUUGGAAGCUUGCUUCCGAUAGGCGUCGACCGGCGCACGGGUGAGUAACGCGUAUCCAACCUGCCCAUCACUUGGGAAUAACCUUGCGAAAGUAAGACUAAUGCCCAAUGACAUCCCACGAAGGCAUCCGAAUGGGAUUAAAGAUUUAUCGGUGAUGGAUGGGGAUGCGU
rnacentral:rRNA from 1 species